CAUGAAGCUGGAAUCGCUAGUAAUCGCAGAUCAGAAUGCUGCGGUGAAUACGUUCCCGGGUCUUGUACACACCGCCCGUCACACCAUGGGAGCCGGGAAUGCCCGAAGUCGGUGACCCAACCGUAAGGAGGGAGCCGCCGAAGGCAGGCCUGGUAACUGGGGUGAAGUCGUAACAAGGUAGC
rnacentral:rRNA from 1 species